rnacentral:rRNA from 1 species
GACGAACGCUGGCGGCGUGCUUAACACAUGCAAGUCGAACGGGCCCGCUCUCUUUUAUGGGGGUGGGUUGAGUGGCGAACGGGUGAGUAUCACGUGAGUAACCUGCCCCCUGCUCCUGGAUAACUGCUUGAAAGGGCGGCUAAUACGGGGUGUGCCGGCUGGUCCGCAUGGGCCUGGUCGGGAUAGUUUCAUCUUCGGGUGUUUCGGUGGGGGAUGGGCUCGCGGCCUAUCAGCUUGUUGGUGGGGUGAUGGCCCACCAAGGCGGUGACGGGUAGCCGGCCUGAGAGGGUGGGCGGCCACACUGGGACUGAGACACGGCCCAGACUCCUGCGGGAGGCAGCAGUGGGGGGUAUUGCACAAUGGGCGGAAGCCUGAUGCAGCGACGGCGCGUGAGGGAUGGAGGCCUUCGGGUUGUGAACCUCUUUCUCCGGUGGUGAAGGCCCUGUCCGUUGCGGCGGGGUUGACGGUAGCCGGGGAUGAAGCGCCGGCUAACUACGUG